CAUGAACCCGAUCGCAUGUCACAGAAGCAACUUGCCGUGAAAUCUGCUAAUGCGCCGCGACUCGCCCACCGGGGACUGGGCAUUCGUUUGCCUCUCCUGGAUCCCUCCUGGCAACCUAUUUCCAGCUCUGGCCAGUUUGGGGCAAUUAAAUGAUGCAAGGGAAGAUUGUUCCUCAUUCUGUGGUCAAAGCCACCCCAAUUUGGACUGUUAAAGAAAUUAUGAAAACGUCCCCUCCACAAACAAACAAAACCACCUUCCUAAAAUGCCCAGAUGAAAGCUCUCUGGUCCGGAUGUCAUUUCCUAAAUUAAACUGCACCACCCAUACCCCACCCCUUUCUGGACCCCAAGUCACCCUGGAGGGGCUGAGUUGGGGCACAGGGAGCUCGGACAUCAUCUGUUUCCUCUGGUCGGUUGGAGUGGGCAUCCAGCCUGAAUCCAGCGUGUCCCUGGGCAGAGGGGUGGAGAAGCAACCCGGGCCUGGAGAAGGCCUGACCUUUGACACUUGGACCUGCAGCUCCGGGGCUCUAGAGGCUGGAGAGGGAGGCCAGCUGGGAGAAGAGGCUAGAGAUGAGGACCCAAGGGGACAAUGGGAGAGGCUGGGAUUGCUGGUGGCACAAUCUGCCUUCACCUGAACGCAGCCGCUGCUGCCCUGAAGCCGGGGCCACCCGAGGCCUUCCUCCUCCCCAGGGCGGCAGUCUCCAGACUCCAGCGGGUCUCUAGCCACCUGCAUCCUGACGUCCCUCGGAAGGGCUCCCCACCUGGAGGCUGCGUCGGCCUCGCAAGAUAGGAGCAAGAGGGAGAAACGGCCCGACGGCCGGCGGCGGCUGAGCUAGUGGGCCUCCAGGGCCUGUCAGAUUUCCCUGCAACGAGGGAUCCACUUCCAGCUCCUCACACUCUCCGCUUCAAGAGAACCGGGCCACCGUGGAGGAACCAGGUCCCUGGGGACUCCGUGGAGCGGAUGGCUUGGUUGGGUUUCAUUUCUACACCAACCAAGAGCUAAGCCCUAUCGGUUAGGUUCCAGAACAAAAGGAGAACCAAUGAAGGACUUGACCAACGAGCCCCCCCCGGACCUCGCGGCGGGCCAAACAGCGCCAGCUCCAAAUCUGAAGGCGCAUUUGGGGACUCUAAGGGACCUGGCUUGGAAGUUAUUUUUCUAAUGCUGCUAUUACGUGUGCGUGAAGCUAUUUGCACUCCGGGAGUCCACGAUCCCCGACCCCUUGCGCAGCCGGGAGCCACUUUGCCCCAGAAUAAGGCAGUGAACUGGUGGGCUCACGCGCAGCUCACGCGGGAGUCACCCACGAGCAGCAGCGUGGAGACGCGGGUGGAUUCUGACUCGGCGUGGGGAGGGGGAUGUGUAAGAUGAGAUGCACACUGUGGAUUUUUCUGGUUUUGCCUUUUUGUUUUUUAACGUAGAUAACUAGCCCCCGGCGUCGGGCGUCGGGGUAACCGGCGCGCGCCCAAGGCUGGAAAUGUGCACACCGCCCGCCAAGCUUGGAGAAUCCAGCCCACGGAGGUUUCGGAAACCCGGUUUUCCUGGUUUCAACCGGACUCUGAAACCCCGCGAUCCUCCGGGUGUGGGGGAGAGUGGCCGGCCCUGGCCAAGCAGGCAGUCCGACGCAAGCGCGCGCGCACACACGCGCCCGCCCAGGGACCCGGCGUUACUAGUAUCCAAGGCCGUAUGCGAAUCUUCGAGGCUGUGGCGGAGCGAACCAAGUCUCUGGAACUGCUCCAGUCCAGCAACCAAUAAGGCAGCGACGUUCUAAAAGUUAUUUGGGGGAACGAGGCUGGAACCUGAAAGGUUAGAGGCACGGCACAGGGCACCCAGCCUUCUACUGGCCCGGCGCUGUCGCCGAAAGAGACGCGGAAAUGUCUUCUUCUCGCGUACACAGCAGCGCUCAUGUCCGACGGCGAGCUCACCUCCGUAUAGGGGGCACCUGGCUCUGCCAUCGCACUUCCCAGCCACCCUCUCGGCGCUUCCUCCGGGUGUUUCCAGGCAAAUGAAAGGAGCAGGAUUCGAGAUCGAGAUCGUAAAUUAUUUUGUUCAGCCUUCUGUCUUUUUUAUGAAAAUAAAAGCCAACACUUUGUCAUUUUUAAUCACAUAAGCAGACAAUAAAUCUAAUUCUUAUAUUGA